UACGAAGGGGGCUAGCGUUGUUCGGAAUUACUGGGCGUAAAGCGUGCGCAGGCGGUUCUAUAAGACAGAUGUGAAAUCCCCGGGCUCAACCUGGGAACUGCAUUUGUGACUGUAGAGCUGGAGUGCGGCAGAGGGGGAUGGAAUUCCGCGUGUAGCAGUGAAAUGCGUAGAUAUGCGGAGGAACACCGAUGGCGAAGGCAAUCCCCUGGGCCUGCACUGACGCUCAUGCACGAAAGCGUGGGGAGCAAACAGG
rnacentral:rRNA from 1 species